rnacentral:rRNA from 1 species
UACGUAGGGGGCAAGCGUUAUCCGGAUUUACUGGGUGUAAAGGGAGCGUAGACGGCUUUGCAAGCCAGAUGUGAAAGCCCGGGGCUCAACCCCGGGACUGCAUUUGGAACUGUGUGGCUAGAGUGUCGGAGAGGCAGGCGGAAUUCCUAGUGUAGCGGUGAAAUGCAUAGAUAUCACGCAGAACUCCGAUUGCGAAGGCAGCAUACCGGCGCCCUACCGACGCUGAGGCACGAAAGCGUGGGUAUCGAACAGG